rnacentral:rRNA from 1 species
ACGGGUGAGUAACACGUGGGAAUCUGCCUUCAAGUGGGGGAUAACUGGCCGAAAGGCUAGCUAAUACCCCAUAUGUCGCAAGAUAAAAGGAGCAAUUCGCUUGAAGAUGAGCCCGCGGCCGAUUAGCUAGUUGGAAGGGUAACGGCCUACCAAGGCAACGAUCGGUAGCUGGUCUGAGAGGAUGAUCAGCCACAAUGGGACUGAGACACGGCCCAUACUCCUACGGGAGGCAGCAGUGGGGAAUUUUACACAAUGGGGGAAACCCUGAUGUAGCGACACCGCGUGAGCGAAGAAGCCCUUUGGGGUGUAAAGCUCUGUCAGCAGGGACGAAAAAAAUGACGGUACCUGCAGAGGAAGCAUCGGCUAACUACGUGCCAGCAGCCGCGGUAAGACGUAGGAUGCGAGCGUUGUCCGGAUUUAUUGGGCGUAAAGAGUUCGUAGGUGGUUCAUUAAGUCUGGUGUAAAAGGCUGGGGCUCAACCCUGGUACGGCACCGGAUACUGGUGGACUGGAGUGCAGUAGAGGCAAGCGGAAUUCCCAGUGUAGCGGUGAAAUGCGUAGA